AUUGAACGCUGGCGGCAUGCUUUACACAUGCAAGUCGAACGGUAACAGGCCGCCAGGUGCUGACGAGUGGCGGACGGGUGAGUAAUGCAUCGGAACGUGCCCAGCCGUGGGGGGUAACUACUCGAAAGAGUAGCUAAUACCGCAUACGAUAUAUGCACGAAAUCGGGGGACCGUAAGGCAUCGCGCGAUUGGAUCGGCCGAUGUCAGAUUAGGUAGUUGGUGGGGUAAAGGCUCACCAAGACAACGAUCUGUAGCUGGUCUGAGAGGACGACCAGCCACACUGGGACUGAAACAGGGCCCAGACUCCUACGGGAGGCAGCAGUGGGGAAUGUUAGACAAUGGGCGCAAGCCUUAUCCAGCAAUGCCGCGUGCAGGAAGAAGGCCUUCGGGUUGUAAAAUGCUUUUGUACGGAACGAACCGGCUCUGGUUAAUACCCGGGGUUAAUGACGGUACCGGAAGAAUAAGCACCGGCUAACUACGUG
rnacentral:rRNA from 1 species